GACGAACGCUGGCGGCGUGCCUAAUACAUGCAAGUAGAACGCUGAAGGAGGAGCUUGCUCUUCUGGAUGAGUUGCGAACGGGUGAGUAACGCGUAGGUAACCUGCCUGGUAGCGGGGGAUAACUAUUGGAAACGAUAGCUAAUACCGCAUAAGAGUAGAUGUUGCAUGACAUUUGCUUAAAAGGUGCAAUUGCAUCACUACCAGAUGGACCUGCGUUGUAUUAGCUAGUUGGUGGGGUAACGGCUCACCAAGGCGACGAUACAUAGCCGACCUGAGAGGGUGAUCGGCCAAACUGGGACGGAGACACGGCCCAGAAUCCUACGGGAGGCAGCAGUAGGGAAUCUUCGGCAAUGGACGGAAGGCUGAACGAGCAACGCCGGGUGAGUGAAGAAGGUUUUCGGAUCGUAAAGCUAGGUUGUAAGAGAAGAACGAGGGUGAGAGUGGAAAGUUCACACUGUGACGGUAUCUUACCAGAAAGGGACGGCUAACUACGUG
rnacentral:rRNA from 1 species